rnacentral:rRNA from 1 species
CCUACGGGUGGCAGCAGUGGGGGAUAUUGCACAAUGGGGGAAACCCUGAUGCAGCGACGCCGCGUGGGUGAAGAAGGGCCUCGGCGCGUAAAGCCCUGUCAGCAGGGAAGAAAAUGACGGUACCUGAAGAAGAAGCCCCGGCGAACUACGUGCCAGCAGCCGCGGUAAUACGGAGGGGGCAAGCGUUAUCCGGAUUUACUGGGGGUAAAGGGGGCGCAGACGGCGAUGCAAGCCAGGAGGGAAAGCCCGGGGCCCAACCUCGGGACUGCUCGUGGAACUGCGGGGCUAGAGUGCAUGAGAGGCAGGCGGAAUUCCCGGUGUAGCGGUGAAAUGCGUAGAUAUCAGGAGGAACACCGGUGGCGAAGGCGGCCUGCUGGACUGCAACUGACGUUGAGGCCCGAAAGCGUGGGGAGCAAACAGGAUUAGAUACCCCAGUAGUC